GACGAACCGUGCAAACGUUGUUCGGAAUCACUGGGCUUAAAGGGCGCGUAGGCGGGGGACCAAGUCCGGGGUGAAAUCUUUCGGCUCAACCGGAAAACUGCCUUGGAUACUGGUCUUCUUGAGGGAGGUAGGGGCAGGUGGAACUUCCGGUGGAGCGGUGAAAUGCGUUGAUAUCGGAAGGAACGCCGGUGGCGAAAGCGACCUGCUGGAUCUCUUCUGACGCUGAGGCGCGAAAGCUAGGGGAGCAAACAG
rnacentral:rRNA from 1 species